AGGUCUCCGUUGGUGAACCAGCGGAGGGAU
rnacentral:rRNA from 1 species